rnacentral:lncRNA from 1 species
GGAUGAAAUUUUUGUAAGGUGGGAGGGCUGUAACACUCCUAGUGUUAGCUUGCAUGUUAACCAUGAGCAUUGCAUCAACAUAAGCAUCAUCAUGAUCACUCAUGAGCAUCAUACCAUGAUCACAUGCCAUUUGCUACAUGUACUUUGUGAUUAAGUUGCUAUAUGACUUGCUAUGGUUGAUUGUAAUAGGUGACUAAGGCAUACAAGUGUACAUUGUCUUCCAAAAUACUUUAAUUAUGUUU